rnacentral:rRNA from 1 species
CAGCCUGCCCAGUGACAAGAUUCAACGGCCGCGGUACCCUAACCGUGCGAAGGUAGCAUAAUCACUUGUUCUUUAAAUGAGGACUAGUAUCAACGGCAUCACGAGGAUCCUACUGUCUCCCCUCUCUAAUCAGUGAAACUGAUCCCUCCGUGAAGAAGCGGAGAUAAACUUAUAAGACGAGAAGACCCCAUGGAGCUUUAAACCCAAUAGCACCCGAUUAUUGUAUAACCUUAUAUAUGUCCGGCCUUUGUCUACUUGGUUUUAGGUUGGGGUGACCACGGAGCAUAAAAAAGCCUCCAUGAAGAAAGGAGUAAGUAUCCUUAUCAGAGAAUGACACUUCCAAGAAUUAAUAAACUAAUUUUUAAUGAUCCGAUAUCCGAUAUUCGAUCAACGAACCAAGUUACCCUGGGGAUAACAGCGCAAUCCACCUCAAGAGCCCCUAUCGACAGGUGGGUUUACGACCUCGAUGUUGGAUCAGGGUAUCCCAGUGGUGCAGCAGCUACUGAAGGUUCGUUUGUUCAACGAUUAAAACCCUACGUGAUCUGAGUU